ACGCUGGCGGCGUGCCUAAUACAUGCAAGUAGAACGCUGAAGGAGGAGCUUGCUUCUCUGGAUGAGUUGCGAACGGGUGAGUAACGCGUAGGUAACCUGCCUGGUAGCGGGGGAUAACUAUUGGAAACGAUAGCUAAUACCGCAUAACGGUAGAUGUUGCAUGACAUUUGCUUAAAAGGUGCAAUUGCAUCACUACCAGAUGGACCUGCGUUGUAUUAGCUAGUUGGUGGGGUAACGGCUCACCAAGGCGACGAUACAUAGCCGACCUGAGAGGGUGAUCGGCCACACUGGGACUGAGACACGGCCCAGACUCCUACGGGAGGCAGCAGUAGGGAAUCUUCGGCAAUGGACGGAAGUCUGAUCGAGCAACGCCGCGUGAGUGAAGAAGGUUUUCGGAUCGUAAAGCUCUGUUGUAAGAGAAGAACAGGUGUGAGAGUGGAAAGUUCACACUGUGACGGUAUCUUACCAGAAAGGGACGGCUAACUACGUGCCAGCAGCCGCGGUAAUACGUAGGUCCCGAGCGUUGUCCGGAUUUAUUGGGCGUAAAGCGAGCGCAGGCGGUUAGAUAAGUCUGAAGUUAAAGGCUGUGGCUUAACCAUAGUACGCUUUGGAAACUGUUUAACUUGAGUGCAAGAGGGGAGAGUGGAAUUCCAUGUGUAGCGGUGAAAUGCGUAGAUAUAUGGAGGAACACCGGUGGCGAAAGCGGCUCUCUGGCUUGUAACUGACGCUGAGGCUCGAAAGCGUGGGGAGCAAACAGGAUUAGAUACCCCUGGUAGUCCACGCCGUAAACGAUGAGUGCUAGGUGUUAGACCCUUUCCGGGGUUUAGUGCCGCAGCUAACGCAUUAAGCACUCCGCCUGGGGAGUACGACCGCAAGGUUGAAACUCAAAGGAAUUGAC
rnacentral:rRNA from 1 species